AUGGAGCUUGCCCAAGGCGGGACACCCACACCGCCAUUGACAGGCAGCCAAUCAAUGUUAGGGCACCAUCUACACCAGCAUCGGCGUGGAGCUUGCCUGAAGCGGGGCUUGGUCGACACUACCAUCCACGCGGAGCUUGGCCCUAGGAGGGCUUGGUCUACAAUGCCGUCGAUGCGGAGCACGCCCAAGGCGGGAGACAUCUACACCAACACAGAGCUCGCCCAAGGCGAGUGUACCUUCUACACUGCCACUGAGGCGGAGCUCAAUCUCUACACUUUUGCUGACACGAAGCCUGUCCAAGGCCACCUUGCAUGGUUUCAUGCUAAUCAUGCGUUGCCGCUUGUUGAGGCAGCAACAUCGUCAACAUCUACCCCAACUUCAACAUCGACACACAUCAUCAACAUCCUCCUAGCACCGGCGAGGGGAAGCUGUACACCACCGACAUGUCUUUUCCUGAUGAAGCAAUCCAUAUCUUGCCAGGCACCGACGAGGCGAAGGCAAGUCAUCCAGUCUAACACCGACAAGGCGGACACCACCAGGCCGGGCACCGACGAGGCGAAGGCCGCCCACUUCAUCAUCGGACAAUCGACAAGACGGAGGGAUAUGGAUAAGCAUGGCCGGAGCAACGGGCGACUUGUCGGAGGGCGGCACAAUGUGUCAAGUUGCAGGUGGAGCGGCUCCUACACCCACCAUGCACGACACCAAUACCCAUGCGUCCCUAACAACACCUAUAACAGCCCGACAACCAAUGGUCUACACCGACAUGCACGAUGGGCGCCAGAAGGCCACGCCUGCGCUCACAUAGGUGGAGUAGAUUUGUCUCCGCAACCCCGUCUUCCAACAACAAUGAAGCAUGGGGGCAACGUCAACCCCUCAAUUAUCCGUAAGGCCGAUGGCAUCCCGGCGCACCACCAGAAUUGUCACACCAUGGAUGUCGGCUACACAUACAGCCACAUCCGCCAUCAGCAACUCAAUCAUGCAUUAGCGCCAAUUCGAUCAGAAACAAGAGCACAAUACCCCCAUCUCUGUUCUACGCUCAAUUGGAAUAUUGGGUCAGCACCAGCAUCUAGUGAGCACUUCAUCAUACCAGGUAGGACGCUGUUCAUUGCUGCCAUCAACUUGGAAUGGACAUCAACAUUUGAGAAUUGCCAGAAUGGCUGCUCUGUGAUGUCUGAUUCUAAGAGGCGAACAGGUUACUGUGGUGUUUCCCGGAUUUUGCUGCCACUAGAGUGCCUUGUCCGAAAACACGCCCGCACGUGGUGUUGCGGCAUCACCAUCCAUGCUGCUUGCCUUCCAUCUCCUCAGCCACCGCCGCCGCCCCUCUCCUCCGUCCUCCACCAGAAAAUCGUCAAUUCCUCUCGCACUCCCAUGAUCAGCGGCGAAGGCGAUGGAUUCGACGCCCCCUGUGUCCCUCAGCUUCACCAUCAGCCAAAAUCUGGAUGCGCCCCAUCUUUAAUCAUCGUGCACUCCUCGCCCCCUUGCAAGCCUAUUUUAAUAAGGCCAUCGCAUCUGUUGGUUGAUCAGGAGGAGGCCAGCAUCCAACAAGAUAUGGUGCUACAAAAUCAGCAAAUCAGUGAGCUAGCGUCCAACAGAGGACAUGUUUCUCAAAAAAAGAUGUAUCAUACGGGCGCGGCAACGCGCGCCUUCAAGGAUCUAGUGUGUAUAUAUAUUGCUUCUGCUCGCCACCCCCUAUUGCUUGUGGUCGUACGUCGUUGGACUUUUUACAUAAAAGUCCUUGCAUUUUUAUGUAAUUCGACCCGCCGUCCUCCUGUAAGUCAACCCGAACCGGUACAGGCCGAGGGAAAAGAAAAAAAAACGCAGGACGACCUUAUCUCCCGCAUCUCCACCUCCAGGCGCCGCCACCCCCUUCCACGCCACGCCACGCGCCGCCCCCGCCGGCCACCGCCCCUCCGCCGCGCGUCGCCCCCGCCGGCCACCGCUCCUCCGCCAUGCGCCGCCCCCUCCGGCCACCUCCCCUCCGCCGUGCGCCGCCACCACCCCUGCGGCUUUCCACCACCGAGAACACUCGACGCCGACGCCGCACCUUCCCCCAACUCCUCUCUCUCCUCCUUUGCCGCACCGCUCUUCAUCACCCGGCCAACUCCGUCGAAACGGGCAGGCGGUGCUGGAGUUCGCCGGAACGGGCCGGCGAGCGGUAAGAGCCGCGGCGGCGGCGCGAAAACUGACGGAUUCAGGCGCGGCAUCGACGGAUCUGGUGACUGGUGCGGCAGCUUGCUAGAUGGCGGCGGCUGGUGCCCUACUCAUCCAGAGAAAGAGAGAGACAGGGCGCAGGGCGGCGUGUUCCUGUUGAGGCGCCGGCGUGCGGUUGCCGGCAAGGGUAGCACAUCUCGCUGGAGCACACGUUGUUCUUGGCCAGAGGCCUCGGAUCGACCGGCUGGGCUCGGCGCUGCUGAGCAACGACGGUGGCGGGGGGUCAAGGGGAUCGUUGAGGACGCCAGCAAGAACCUCUUCAAACUACGCGUAAUUCCUGUACCAUUGGCUUUAUCGGUUAUUUGUACGAGACUCACCCUCUUUGUGUCGAGGAAAGAGCCGGAAGGAGAAUUUUGGUGCUACUGCCUAUCAUCCAUAGCAUCUCCUCUUUUUACCACCAGCCACCACUACCACAAUGAUCCAUUACCUUCUUGCGUAUCGUCAUCUAUGCAGAACAUGCCAACAAGCUCUGUCGACGUGGCUGCCGCCAUCAUGCUUCUCAGGAGAAGAGUACCCAGGGCUGAGGAGACAAGUGCUGGAGAGGGUGGGAUGCAUCAGGAUGAGAGGGAAGAAAGUUCUAGAGGAUUGCAUUCUGGUGCUAUGGUCGUGACCGAAGAUGCUAGCGGCAAAAGCAAUUGCGACAUAGAGGGUAGCCAGGCUGAGAACCAUGUUGCUAGAGGUUCUGUUGCCGGAGUAGUAAGGGUGACGGGAGAGCGCAAGUCAGUCCAGGACAUGUGUAUAGGGAUGGAUUUGAGUAACAAAUCACAUGAACUCAAUAAAACUUACAGUAUUCUCAUCUGGAUCAAUGAAAUUCAGGGAUGUAGUGUGCCACUAAUUUGCGGAUGGAGCUCGUCGCCGGCUCGAGAAAAAGAUGCUCCUUGUUGCGCCUUUAGGAAAUACUGGAGAAGGAGGAUAGCGGCAGGAGACAGAGGUAAUGUCAAUGAUGCGAUGGCUCAAAAUAGUUUCAACAAUGGAGAAGAAGUUCAAUGGACGCACGACUGUUUGCUGCCACACAUCAUCCCGCCGCGCUGUGCAACCGAACAAACCGAGGCAAUCGAGCCGACUCCAUGCCGUUGUUUGGUGAGGCGCUGUUACCGUCGGCAUGGAAGUCCUCGUUCCCGGAUCAAUCGGUACCAACGUGAAGGCCGCUGGAGAGGCACCGGCGCUCUCGCCUCUUUGAUCCCUGAAUCCGCUCGAUUCGGCCGCUCCUCACCUCCGGUUGAUCCAAUCCAGCGCCUCGCAUCGGGCACACUACCGGCCGCUCCUCUGUGCGCCUCAAAUUGGGACUGGAUGGACACACACACGACCGCUCCUCUAGAUCCUUCGUGGAUGAACCCCUUUGGCGAAUAG
rnacentral:rRNA from 1 species